rnacentral:lncRNA from 1 species
AGGAUUAGUGAACAUUGCCGAUGAAUAGGAAUUUACAAAUAGUUAUGAUGUGGAAGAAGAUAGACAUUAAGUGUGCAGAAGAAGGGUUCUAUUUGGCAGACAAGAGAAAGUGUUGUACAGGUAGAAUUCCAAUUCUAGGACUACAUUUGCCUUUUGCACUAUUUUCAAAUGUUCCUUUCAACAGUCCAGGUAAUGACAGCAAUAUUGAGCAAAUAUAAGGGCAUGCCACAUUUUCUGACCACGAGCUUGGUACACGAAUUACCAAAGUGCUUGAAGGAGAUGAGCCACCCACCAUAUUCUCUAAGUUUGUGCUAAGAUGGUCCCGCUGCAGAAACACCAUGCUGUUGUUUAGAUCAUAGUCUGCAACAAAUUACUUGGAAUAUAAGGUUUUCUUCAAUCGGCAAACAAGGGGGAAGUCUGAUAGGGCUUUAAGAGAUAGGGACUCCAACGGUAAAAGUCACUCAGUGAAUAGGUGGAUCACACAUUUGGAGACAACGAUAGGGGCAAUUCCUCGCAUAUAACUAAGAGAGCCAUUGAAUGGUGACUAAAACACAAGAAAUGGGGACUACGAACUAAUGAUAGAGACAAGAAUACUUUCUGGCCAAGUCCUAUUAAUUGAUCAUAAACUAUCCGUUUCACUUUAUUAGGAUCUGUACCAUUACUUAUAUUCAAGAGAUUUAUAUGAACCCUACAGAGAAAAGACACAUCAAUAAUAUUGAAUAAAUAGAGAUGUCUGAUUUGAAACCUCCUUUUCUGCAGUCAACAGUUUGACUACUACAGCAAAUCUAGGUAAAGAUAUGCUGAUUACAGAUUGAUGCAAAGUUAAAACAAUUGAUAAUUCUUUCAUUUUGGGGAAACUUGUGAAUUACUUGAACCUCCCUCUAGUUUAGCGACAAAAUGGACCUCCCACUAGUUAAGCAAACACGAAAUAGACCUCCCGUCUAGUUUAGCAAAGCAAAAUAGACCAUGGCCUCAGUAAUUGGCAAGCUAAGAUUAGGGUUUUGUGGGUAAGUAUUGCAGAAUUUGAACUCAUUAAAUAUUUUUGGCUCUAGAAAGGGCAUACGCAGCAACACACUAGAAACAGUUCUCUGACAUCAUCCAUUUCAAACAGCUGAGUUAACGGACUUCACUAUCUAAGAUCAAAUAUCAAAAAAGGGAGGGGAUAUGUGCUUCUUAAACUGGAGCUGAGGUCCAUUUAGUUUUGUUAAGCUAGAAUAAGUGUAAGUAAUUUACCAUAGAUUUACUAACUGAAUUUUAAGCAGUCCUCAAAUGUUUUUCUUCCUGGAGUGAAUCUUAAGUUCUUGAACAACAAUGAUGUAAAAACUAAAACUCUUGCAAUGAACAUGCUUCUUUUUUUUGACAGAGAUGAACGGGUCAUUGAUAUCGAUCAUCACCUUCAUGAAUUUGGGUCCAUUGAAUAUUACAUUCAGGUAAGAGCAACAAGCAACCGCAAGCAAACAUUCCAUAUCUGGUUGACGUUCAUGGCACAAAAGACAAGGGUUAUCUUAAGGAAGAUCCUUUGGACCGAAGAACAAUUUAAGCAACUAUUUUUAUAUGAAAUAAGGACUCCAAGUUGAGAAAUGCAAUUUAUUGCAAAUUUUUGCUGAUAUUCAAUAAUUCCAAAUAUUUGCACUAAAGUUUCUUUAACUUUGUUUUUCUUCUUAAAAUAUUUAAUCAGUCCUCAAUGUCGGAUCCUGAUCGUACCUACUUAUCAAUAUCAACGCCAAUUCUGUCUCAAGCAUUCCUGAUCUCAACUCGGCUAUCACGUUACACCAUGGAGAAGGUAAAGGCAAUUAGUG